CCCCCUCGAAAGUAUCUUCUCCAAGAAAAACUGGAGCAGGUGUAUCCAGAAUGUAGGAAACUUUCUUCUAAAUGAGAACAAUUUUCAAGUUCCAUAACCAGUCGACAUAGUUGGGUCCAGUCAACUUAUUUGCAUCUAGGAUACCUCUAAGUGAAAGUGAGGAUGUCAUGUGUGUAGUUAAUCUACAACAACAAGAACAUAAUAUAAGCAGACUACUCAUGA
rnacentral:lncRNA from 1 species